AAUAUUGGACAAUGGGGGCAACCCUGAUCCAGCCAUGCCGCGUGUGUGAAGAAGGUCUUCGGAUUGUAAAGCACUGUAAGUUGGGAGGAAGGGCUUUAGGCUAAUACCCUGAAGUUUUGACGUUACCAACAGAAUAAGCACCGGCUAACUCUGUGCCACCAGCCGCGGUAAUACAGAGGGUGCAAGCGUUAAUCGGAAUUACUGGGCGUAAAGAGAGCGUAUGUGGUUCAGUAAGAUGGGUGUGAAAACCCCGGGCUUAAACUGGGAACUGCUAUCAUAACUGCUGAGCUAGAGUACGGUAGAGGGUAGUGGAAUUUCCUGUGUAGCGGUGAAAUGCGUAGAUAUAGGAAGGAACACCAGUGGCGAAGGCGACUACAUGGACUGAUACUGACACUGAGGUGCGAAAGCGUGGGGAGCAAACAG
rnacentral:rRNA from 1 species